rnacentral:rRNA from 1 species
UUGGUCGGGUGGUGCAUUUGCAGGUGGAGUGCGCUGAGCGGCGUGGGCCAGCGGUUGGAUACGCACCAAGAGGCCUUUCCUCGGAUUGGAACCAGGGCGCGUGGAAGACUGUUUGGCCUGCCCACACCAAGGGCGACGGCUUACGCGCGUCCUCGUAGUUGCAAUUCCGACUCCUAACGGUCGCAUGCGACACGUGCUUGGCGGGGUGGUGGCUGCGGCGGCGUGCUCGCUCGCCCGGCUCGGCGUAAAAAUUGGUCAUCUCUCCCACCCGCCUUGAAACACGGACCAAGGAGUUUAACGUAUACGCAAGUCAUUGGGCGCCAAACCCAAAGGCGCAAUGAAAGUGAAUUGACAUGUGAGCAUCCCCCUUUGGGAUAGCGCACAAGGGCCCCGCCCCAACCCCUUGUGUUGGG